UUUUUGUUUCAGAUUGUAAGCUUUCUUUGAAAUCUGUGUUAUGGUCUCAAGUUGUGAAGCAAGUUGGUAAAGUUUUAGACUGUGUUUUUUUGGCAAUAUAAUCUUCUUAAUCUAACUCUAUGUGAUGCUAUUGGUCUCUGCAUAUUAAAAGAUCAGAAGAAGCUCCAAGGACAGCUUGAAUCAGAACGAGAGGCGCUUUACGGGUCAAAACCAGUUCUAAGUCUUACAAUAAACAGAAACUAACAUAUCAUUAUAGUGAUGAGUAUAUUCUCUUAAUUUCAUUGUUGAACAAAUUCUUUUCUUCACCUGCGUGAAGAAGAGGGCUUGAUGUUGCUAGACUUCCCUCAAAGAAGCAGUCAAUGAUUCCAACGCUGUCGGUAUCAUCAGGUUUCUGCUGAUCAAAGAUAGAGAUUGGCAAUAUCUGUGGAGAGGCUUGACCGAGUUAGCGACAUAAUCAGAGAUAGUAGACGAAAUAUCUUGCUGUAUCAGUUCUUCAAGAUAUGAGCCAGCACGACAAACUCUCCUUCACUCGCAUAGCAAGCUUCAUGGUGUGGAUGAGGAUGAGGUUUUCAAGGCUAUCUCUUUCCCCCUUUGUUGCUUGGUGUGAUUUCCCACACAGCUGCAUAAAUAUCUUUAUGGUCCUCCUCCUUUAGAAUACAAUAGUAUCACCUUUCUUUAAUCUUCUUUAAUGUGUUAAUGUCGGAAACUUUUUGCCUAGAAAGAAACUCUAUGUCUCCUUAAAUACUCUCUACUGGUACUGAUUUAGUUGCAUCUCUUGUGUCUCAAUCAAAAACAGAUGGGGAGAGAAAGGAUCAGCGACAACAGACGCAUACACAACUUUCA